rnacentral:rRNA from 1 species
CACGUAGGCGGAUUGGCAAGUCAGAUGUGAAAGCCCAAGGCUCAACCUUGGAACUGCAUUUGAUACUGCCUGUCUUGAGUAUGGUAGAGGGGGAUGGAAUUCCCGGUGUAGAGGUGAAAUUCGUAGAUAUCGGGAGGAACACCAGAGGCGAAGGCGAUCCCCUGGGCCAUUACUGACGCUGAGGUGCGAAAGCGUGGGGAGCAAACA